UUUUAAGAGUUGAGUAAUUGUUUGAUAAAUGGGGUAGGGAUUGGGCUAGUGUAAUUUAAUUAAAAUUGUGCCAAAAUUGGCCCAAAAUUUGAGCCCAAAGAGCCCAAAUCCGGUCCAAAAUGGGGCUGCCAAGAAGAGCUUAAAACGACGUAGUUUGGUCUUGAAACUACGUCAUUUUGGUUAAGUAACAAGAUUCAAUCUCAUCCCCCCAUCUUGAUUUAAUCCAACGGUCCUGGUUUGAUCUUUAUCCUAGGUAUUUAAAGCCCAAAAUCCCCAAAAAUUUGCCCCAUUUCCCCCUUAUUUCCUCUCUCUUCUUUCCCUCUCCUUCUUCUCUCUUCUCUCUCUCUUCACUCUCUCUACGCCGCCCCAUAUCCGCCCACCGCUGCCGGCCGGAAAUCGCCGCCGCCGGCGUAUCACCUCCAAACACCUCUAAAUUCACACCAUGUAAUCUCCACAACUUCCUCUUUCCAUAUCUCCAAACCAAAUCCUUCACAGAUCCCUCAAACUCCUUGAAUCUUAGAUCUUGGAAACUUUCCCGUCACUUUUUUGCCCAAAUCCUUGAAGCUCCAACCACUACCACCCCACAAUACCUACAUCAAUGGAUAGAGUUCCUCAAGACCUAGCUAUUGAUGCCAAUUUCACCCUGAAAAUCCGGCGACCAAAAUCCGGCCAAAUUCCGGCGACCUCCCCGAACACCCUCUUUUGAGGUAAUCCUUUAAGACUCGUAACGUACGUAUUUUCAGCAAUGGGAACAACUUGAACAUACUGCACCAUUUAAAUGUGUUUGAUAUGAUGAAUAAUUUGACAACAAAAGAGCUUGUAUGUUAUUGUUAUGUAUCAAGCAUGUGAUAAUGUGAAUAUAGUCCUUCAUAAUACUUGAA